AUAGCGUAUAUUAAAGUUGUUGCAGUUAAAAAGCUCGUAGUUGGAUUUCGGAAGGUCUUUAGUGGUCCGCCCCUUCGGGGAGCGGGUCACUGGCCUCCUAUGUUCCUAACGGUCCUCAUCCGCGAGGGUGGGGAAUCAACCGCUAGGAUCGUUUACUUUGAGGAAAUUAGAGUGUUCAAAGCAGGCGUAACUCGCCUCCGAAUACGUUAGCAUGGGAUAAUGGAAUACGACUUCGGUCUUGUUUCGUUGGUUUCGCUUGGCUGAAGUAAUGAUUGAUAGGGACAGUUGGGGGCAUUAGUAUUUAGUUGUCAGAGGUGAAAUUCUAGGAUUUACUAAAGACUGACCAAUGCGAAAGCAUUUGCCAAGGAUGUUUUCAUUAAUCAAGAACGAAAGUAGGGGGAUCGAAGACGAUCAGAUACCGUCGUAGUCUCUACCGUAAACUAUGCCGACCAGGGAUCCGGAGAGUUUGCAUGGAUGACUCCCCGGGCACCUUGUGAGAAAUCAUAAGUGUUUGGGUUUUGGGGGGAGUAUGGUCGCAAGGCUGAAACUUAAAGGAAUUGACGGAAGGGCACCACCAGGAGUGGAACCUGCGGCUUAAUUUGACUCAACACGGGGAAACUUACGAGGUCAGGACACUGUGAGGAUUGACAGAUUGAAAGCUCUUUCUUGAUUCAGUGGGUGGUGGUGCAUGGCCGUUCUUAGUUGGUGGAGUGAUUUGUCUGGUUAAUUCCGUUAACGAACGAGACCUUAACCUG
rnacentral:rRNA from 1 species